UCCACAUAGAUCAGCAGUUCUCAGGCGUUGCAGCAAUCCGGAGUCACCGUGGAGGACGACAAGAAGGAAGAUGCCCAUCAGAGACCAACUGAAUCAGAAUCUCCAGGGCUGAUUCUGAUGCACACCACAGAGGGUUCAUGAAGGCCAAGGAGACAUUGGGAUCUCCCCGGAAAGAGAGAAAGAACCGGAUGAAGUGAACAUUUCUGAAACACGUCCAGGAGACAGACUGUUCUCUGGGAGGCUACGAGCUGUCUUUCCUAGCAAAGAAGGGAAAAACGAUGAGUGCCCGGAAGUCAGAUCACUGGAUUAAAAGGUGUGACUAUGUCAAGACUCUUGUUGCAUGUGUUGUAAGCUAUUGUUAUAUCCCCUUUUUCCUGGAGUUGGGAACUGAAACGCAAAAGUUGAAAUAAUUUGUCCUAGUUCGCACAGCUAAUCCUCAACAAGUCCGGGACAAAACGCAGGGCAAGAGACUCCACGUUCUGUGGUCUGUGCUCAACACGGCCCAGGAGAGAAGGCUGCUACUGCCGACCGAGCAUCUGAUAAUUUGCACUAAAGAGGACAAACAGCCCCGUGGGGGAUCAAACAUAGAGCAAAGGCUGACGCACCUGGGCGCAGGACACCUGGGUUCUACUGGGGGCUCCCCCGCUAACUCCAUCACCCUGAGCAAAGCAAGUCCCUUGGGCCUCAACGUCAGCCUCCCGUCUGGAUCUAACACACUGCCCUUCUGUCCAGAUACCUCAUUACCAAAACAAAAACAGAAACAUUUUCGUUUUGAUUUUACAUAAAAAGACCAAAAGUAAUACAUUUGCUCCCACUCCAUGUAACUGCUCUGUUGGCCACAAAACGGAUCCGGCUGCAUCCCAAGGCCAGCAGGUUGGGGUUAAUGAGACAGUGAACUCCAGAAAACAUGCCCCAAGCCGGAAUCUGCCAGCGAGUGGCAGGAGAAUGCAGUCCUUUCAAGAUCAAGUCAGAUGGCCUGAAACACAGCUCAGCGCUGUAUCUCGGCACCAGGCUCCGCCAUCGGCACUGUAAAGACAUUCCCCUCAGUGGUUCCCUGGGACGGAGGGCAUCAGCACCA